CCUACGGGAGGCAGCAGUAAGGAAUAUUGGUCAAUGGACGCAAGUCUGAACCAGCCAUGCCGCGUGAAGGAUGAAGGCCCUCUGGGUUGUAAACUUCUUUUAUAGGGGAAGAAACCCAUCUUUUCUAAGGUGGUUGACGGUACCCUAGGAAUAAGCACCGGCUAACUCCGUGCCAGCAGCCGCGGUAAUACGGAGGGUGCAAGCGUUAUCCGGAUUCACUGGGUUUAAAGGGUGCGUAGGUGGGUCUGUAAGUCAGUGGUGAAAUCUCCGAGCUUAACUCGGAAACUGCCAUUGAUACUAUAGAUCUUGAAUUUUCUGGAGGUUAGCGGAAUAUGUCAUGUAGCGGUGAAAUGCUUAGAUAUGACAUAGAACACCAAUUGCGAAGGCAGCUGGCUACAGGAAUAUUGACACUGAGGCACGAAAGCGUGGGGAUCAAACAGGAUUAGAUACCCUGGUAGUCCACGCCCUAAACGAUGGAUACUCGACAUUUGUGAUACACAAUAAGUGUCUGAGCGAAAGCAUUAAGUAUCCCACCUGGGAAGUACGACCGCAAGGUUGAAACUCAAAGAUAGUGGAGCUGACGAG
rnacentral:rRNA from 1 species